CCCUUAGAUGUUCUGGGCCGCACGCGUGCUACACUGAGUAAUUCAAUGGGUAAGGGAACGCUAGAGCAUUACCUAAUCUUGAAAUUUGCUCGUGAUGGGUAUCGACGGUUGCAAUUUUCCGUCGUGAACGAGGAAUACCUUGUAGGCGCAUGUCAUCAUCAUGCGCCGAAUACGUCCCUGCCCUUUGUACACACCGCCCGUCGCUCCUACCGAUUGAGUGAUCCGGUGAGGCUCUGGGACCUGGACGGAAAGAGCGUUUCGCUUGUUCUGUUUGGGAAACUUGGUCGAACCUUAUCAUUUAGAGGAAGGAGAAGUCGUAACA
rnacentral:rRNA from 1 species